GCUUUUUUUUUCCUGGGUCUUUUUUAUCACUUCUUGUUUUACUUGAUGUUGUUAUUUGUGGCGAUGGAAACUGGAUGAUGGUGGAUCAAUUGGUUUGGAUGCUUUUUUUUGUGGAGUUUAAGGAAGCUACUGUUAGAAAAUCUUCAAUCCGAUUUUAAUGAUUUUAUUUUACUUUGAUGAACAUAUAUUGGUUCCAGUCAAAUAUUCUACAAGGAUAAAAGGAGAGCAAAUGAUUUGAGUUUGGAUUAUGUAACAAUAUCUGAUGACUAAUUUAUGGUACUUAAAAUAUAUGGCCUUAUUGAAUUACAGAGUGAAAAAAUUAAUUUAAUUGACUACAAGAACUUGGUCUAAGGUUUCUUUAACCGAGAUAAGUUGAUUAAUUUUUGGUGUGUUCAUGCUGUUGAACAUCUUGGGCCCUGGCUAUGUUCACUAUUAGUGGUUUCCUUGCGAAUAAAAAUUAUGCAAUACAUCCAGGACAAUGCAUGUGGCCGCCAUGUACAUGUUGGACUAAUCUUGCAGGGGAGAUCUAUGUGAAUGCAAGAGUAUGUGCUGUGUUAGCAUAUUGAGCAAUCACCCUUUUAUUGAGAUGGUGUAGGUUUGAGAAAUUAGAUUUCUUAAGAGUUUGGGAAAAUGAGUCUAGAAAAACAUCUUCUCAUUAUGCAUCUUGACUAAACCCUACUCUGCAAAAUCUUAUUUCAACCAUUUAUGUUGAUGUUAUGAAUUUUUCUUGAGAUUAAUGAACCAUUUAUUCAGGGCAGUACUUUCAACAGACUAAAAAAAAAAAAAAAAUU
rnacentral:misc_RNA from 1 species